AAGUGACACCCGAGGCAGAUUUUGGCUCACACUGGUGCCCAGACAGCUCACAGCUGCUGGAGGAUGGAGGAAUGAGCAGGACUUUCACAUCUCUGUCUUACCACAGGGGAUGGACAUCUCCCAGAAGUCUGCCCUGGCUGUGUAAGAGACUGUGUGAAAACACUCCAAAAAUUGAACGAGGACCACCCAGAUGCUCUGUGUGGAAUGUUUCAUGCUGUGACAUCGGAUACAAUCCAAGGCCUCUCGGUGCUGCAGCACCAGACACGAAAUCUUGUGUUUCCAAUGCACAGGAAUGGGGAAGGAGAUCAUUUCAGCACAGCUGUUGUUGGCUCUUGGUCCCUGACAGCUUGGGAUGGGUUCUCAUCCAAAGUGUACCCCAUACUGUAUUUUAAUUAAACUGAACAAACAAACCAAUCACGAAGCCAUCCAGCAGAGCUAACUUUGCUUUGUGGCUGAGCUGGACUCUGCACCACUAUGAGGAGAGAAACUGGAUUUUGGCACAGCUCCUGCUGUCUAAAUACUCUCAGCCAAGAACUAGGAUAGACUUUCUUACAAUAAAAAGUUGCUGGGGAAAAAAGAAAAGCCCAGAACAACACAACAAUCCACAAAGAAAAUGGCUUCAGGACUGUUCUCCUCUCACCCGUAUUUAUUCAAGCUGUCUUCCUCUCUCCGCAAAUUUGGCAAACAGAGCCUGGCAUCCCAGCUCAGGGGACACCUGUUAAAUAAAUAGGCUCAGUCUCUAACUGCUGCAUUCAUGGCAGAGUUUCCUGGUUCCCUUAGGCAGCUAAUUUUUGUUGAUUAUCAUACAGUACAGAGGGAUGGUUUGUGCCUCUGCAUCCCAUCCCGGCUCUGCCGCUUGUGACAGGCAUGGCCGCGUGACUCAGGCCCGCUGCCUGCGUGGAAUAAAGAAUGGUUUGAUUCUAAGAUUCCAUGACUUUUAAAUGCAGACAGAAGCAGCCAGGUGGGGUUCUUGUGGAGGUGAAUUGAGGCCCUGUUGAUUUGUUCAGUUUUCCCUUACCAGUGCCUUUUCAAAGAAACCUGAGAGCUGGAGCGAGGCUUCACCGAGAGCAGAAGUUGUUCUUGCCUGAGAGAUAAUUAUUCUGAGAUAGAAUGAAACUCCUGUGGAAUGGGAACUCUCACACUCACUCUAGAGGAAGUUGUGAAAGGAUUCCCUCUAAAUAUUUUUCAAGCAUGUUUGAAGAUCUCUGAGGAGCCUGAAACCCAAACUGCCAGAUCUGGAAAAGAUGGGAACCCAAACAGUCCUGAAAAUCCUGAAUAAAAGCCAAAUACGAUGUUGCAGAAAA